GAUGAACGCUGGCGGCGCGCCUAACACAUGCAAGUCGAACGAUUAAAGCACCUUCGGGUGUGUAUAAAGUGGCGAUCGGCUGAGUAACACGUGGGCAACCUGCCCCUUUCAUUGGGAUAGCCACGGGAAACCGUGGAUAAUACCGAAUACUUCGAGACUUCCGCAUGGAAGACUCGAGAAAGCUCCGGCGGAGAGGGAUGGGCCCGCGGCCUGUUAGCUUGUUGGUGGGGUAACGGCCUACCAAGGCAAUGAUGGGUAGCUGGGUUGAGAGACCGACCAGCCAGAUUGGGACUGAGACACGGCCCAGACUCCUACGGGAGGCAGCAGUGGGGAAUCUUGCACAAUGGGCGAAAGCCUGAUGCAGCGACGCCGCGUGCGGGAUGAAGGCCUUCGGGUUGUAAACCGCUUUCAGCAGGGACGAGGCGAAAGUGACGGUACCUGCAGAAGAAGCCCCGGCUAACUACGUG
rnacentral:rRNA from 1 species